rnacentral:siRNA from 1 species
UAAUAUAUAAUACUACUUUUUC